rnacentral:rRNA from 1 species
AUUGAACGCUGGCGGCAUGCCUUACACAUGCAAGUCGAACGGCAGCACGGGAGCAAUCCUGGUGGCGAGUGGCGAACGGGUGAGUAAUGUAUCGGAACGUGCCCAGUCGUGGGGGAUAACGUAGCGAAAGCUACGCUAAUACCGCAUACGAUCUAUGGAUGAAAGCGGGGGACCGUAAGGCCUCGCGCGAUUGGAGCGGCCGAUAUCAGAUUAGGUAGUUGGUGGGGUAAAGGCCUACCAAGCCGACGAUCUGUAGCGGGUCUGAGAGGACGACCAGCCACACUGGGACUGAGACACGGCCCAGACUCCUACGGGAGGCAGCAGUGGGGAAUUUUGGACAAUGGGCGCAAGCCUGAUCCAGCAAUGCCGCGUGCAGGAUGAAGGCCUUCGGGUUGUAAACUGCUUUUGUACGGAGCGAAAAGGCUCUCUCUAAUACAGGGGGCUCAUGACGGUACCGUAAGAAUAAGCACCGGCUAACUACGUGCCAGCAGCCGCGGUAAGAC